UACGGAAGGUCCGGGCGUUAUCCGGAUUUAUUGGGUUUAAAGGGAGCGCAGACGGGCUGUUAAGCGUGACGUGAAAUGCCGGGGCUCAACCUUGGCCUGCGUCGCGAACUGGCGGCCUUGAGUGGACGGUAGGCAGGCGGAAUUCGUGGUGUAGCGGUGAAAUGCUUAGAUAUCACGAAGAACCCCGAUUGCGAAGGCAGCUUGCCGCAGUCUUACUGACGUUCAUGCUCGAAGGUGCGGGUAUC
rnacentral:rRNA from 1 species